UGGUGCUGCAACUGUUAUCCAGGCGGAUACCAGCCGCUGGGUCGCUUUGGGACGCCCAGAGAGCGGAUUAAGCAGACAUGACCCCGGAAGGCGCCGACGUCAUGACCGACGCGGCCCAGGGUCAGAAGGGGUCAGCGACCUCUUCCCGGCCCAAGUGGAGUCCUUGGUUUGACGGAAAGCUGGCCGUGGCGGCCUCUAUCUUCGGGCCCUACGACUUGUUGGUCUUUCCAAUGCUGUUCUACUGGGGUGGUGGAGGCGCGUUUCUGCUGAUUUACCUGCUGUUCGUCGCCCUAAUGGCGGUGCCGCUCCUCUUCCUGGAG